UCCGGCAUGGUGUAACGGUCAGCACACGUGGCUUUGGUCCUCGUGGUUCGGGUUCGAAUCCUGAUGCCGGGA
rnacentral:tRNA from 1 species